GGCAAGAUGGCCGAGCGGUUAAGGCGCUGUGUUCAGGCUUCUUGAUCCAAGCACAGCUUGAUCAGCAGCUUCGCAGUCCGAAAGGGCGUGGGUUCGAAUCCCACUCUUGUCA